rnacentral:tRNA from 1 species
GGGCGAAUGGUUUAGUGGUAUAAUACUCCCUUAGCAUCAGCUUUACAGCGGAUCCAGCGAUUGGGAGUGGUCCGGGGUUCGAUUCCCCGUUUGUCCA